AAAUGAAUUGACGGGGGCCCGCACAAGCAGUGGAGUAUGUGGUUUAAUUCGAAGCAACGCGAAGAACCUUACCAGGGCUUGACAUCCUACUAACGAAGCAGAGAUGCAUAAGGUGCCCUUCGGGGAGAGUAGAGACAGGUGGUGCAUGGUUGUCGUCAGCUCGUGUCGUGAGAUGUUGGGUUAAGUCCCGCAACGAGCGCAACCCUUACUGUUAGUUGCUACAUUUAGUUGAGCACUCUAACGGGACUGCCGUUGACAAAACGGAGGAAGGUGGGGACGACGUCAAAUCAUCAUGCCCCUUAUGUCCUGGGCUACACACGUACUACAAUGGCGCUUAACAGAGGGAAGCAAGAGAGCGAUCUGGAGCAAAUCCCUAAAAAGCGUCUCAGUUCAGAUUGCAGGCUGCAACUCGCCUGCAUGAAGGCGGAAUUGCUAGUAAUCGCGAAUCAGCAUGUCGCGGUGAAUACGUUCCCGGGCCUUGUACACACCGCCCGU
rnacentral:rRNA from 1 species